UGAUGAUGGUUUGCCAAUCCGUGU
rnacentral:siRNA from 1 species